rnacentral:rRNA from 1 species
AUUGAACGCUGGCGGCAGGCUUAACACAUGCAAGUCGAGCGGAGCGAGGGUGCUUGCACCUUAGCUUAGCGGCGGACGGGUGAGUAAUGCUUAGGAAUCUGCCUAUUAGUGGGGGACAACAUUCCGAAAGGAAUGCUAAUACCGCAUACGCCCUACGGGGGAAAGCAGGGGAUCUUCGGACCUUGCGCUAAUAGAUGAGCCUAAGUCGGAUUAGCUAGUUGGUGGGGUAAAGGCCUACCAAGGCGACGAUCUGUAGCGGGUCUGAGAGGAUGAUCCGCCACACUGGGACUGAGACACGGCCCAGACUCCUACGGGAGGCAGCAGUGGGGAAUAUUGGACAAUGGGCGGAAGCCUGAUCCAGCCAUGCCGCGUGUGUGAAGAAGGCCUUUUGGUUGUAAAGCACUUUAAGCGAGGAGGAGGCUACUUAGAUUAAUACUCUGGGAUAGUGGACGUUACUCGCAGAAUAAGCACCGGCUAACUCUGUGCCAGCAGCCGCCGCGGUAAAAC